rnacentral:tRNA from 1 species
GCCACCGUAGCUCAAUCGGCAGAGCGGCGCACUCGUAAUGCGCAGGUUGUCGGUUCGAUUCCGACCGGUGGCUCCA